GACGAACGCUGGGCGGCGUGCCUAACACAUGCAAGUCGAGCGGGGUUGAAGCGAGGGGUAACUCGAGUUUCUACCUAGCGGCGGACGGGUGAGUAACGCGUGGGCAACCUGCCUCAAGGACUGGGAUAACAGCUCGAAAGGGCUGCUAAUACCGGAUAAGCCUAUGGCCUCGCAUGGGGCCAUGAGCAAAGGGGAAACCCGCCUUGAGAUGGGCCCGCGUCCCAUCAGCUAGUUGGUGAGGUGAAGGCUCACCAAGGCGACGACGGGUAGCCGGCCUGAGAGGGUGACCGGCCACACUGGGACUGAGACACGGCCCAGACUCCUACGGGGGGCAGCAGUGGGGAAUCUUGCACAAUGGGCGAAAGCCUGAUGCAGCGACGCCGCGUGAGCGAAGAAGGCCUUCGGGUUGUAAAGCUCUGUCUGGAGGGACGAAGGAAGUGACGGUACCUCCGGAGGAAGCCACGGCUAACUACGUG
rnacentral:rRNA from 1 species